UAGUAGAAAAGUACCACCCUGCAGUUCUCACCUGCUUUCCCACUGAUGCUAAGCAGGGUUGAGUCUGGUCAGUACCAGGAUGAGAGACCUCCUGGGGAAAACUAAGGUUGCUCCUGG
rnacentral:rRNA from 1 species